rnacentral:lncRNA from 1 species
GAAAGGGGGUGGCAGCAGAAGGAGCUACUCCCUGGCCGCUGCACUGUGACCAGAGCAGCCCGUGAUCAUAGCUCUGAACCCGCCUCGUUCCAGGCUUCCUCCUCCGUUCCCUCCUCCUUCUGCACAGACACCCCUAGGGUCUCUCCGUAGAGCCUUCGAGAGCUCACGGUGGCCCGGGGCGCCGCGCCCCGACCCGCGCUCUAGGGUCGUAGAGGACGGCGCCCCAUCUGGGGAGACUGCGGCGCUAAGCCUCGAGUACCCCCAGGGACGCUGAGGAACAGAGAAACGCGAGCCAAAGCAACACCCGCCCCCCCAGGAACCGGGAACAAAGACCCCUUUGUUCCAGCUCUGUCCCUCUCCCGGGAGACCAGAGUCCCGUGGGUGUGGUGUCGUGGAGAGGAGGAGACAGGUCACUGCAGAUUCUCAAGGUUCCUUUGGCUUAAACAUACGUGAUUUGUAUUCAAGAUAAACUAAAAAAGAAGAUUCAUAGUAUGUCUUGAAAAUUAUACCUGGUCUGGGAAGAGAGCUCAGCAAGUAUUCCACUUUCUGUGUGCAAUGAUACUAUUAAGAUGUAUGUCUUUGUUGGAACAGGUGUGACCUUGUUGGAGGAAGUGUGUCACUGUGGGGGUGGGCUUCAAGGUCCUAUGCUCAAGUUCCACACAGUGCAGAAGAGACAUUCUCCUUCUGGUUGCCUUCAGAUCAAUAUGCAGAAUUCCCAGCUCCUUCUCGAGCAAUACAUCUGCCUGGAUGCUACCAUGCCUCCUGCCAUGAUAAUAGUGGACAGAACCUCUGAACCUGUAAGCCAGCUCCAAUUAAAUGUUUUCCUGUGUAAGAGUUGCCUUGGUCAUGGUGCUUCUCCACAGCAAUAAAACCUUAAGACACUG